GCGCACCUCCCCGGGCACGGGGGGCCGGCGGCUCGCCCAGCCUCGGUCUGUGCAGGCAGUCUGCCGGCCUGCCCCGGGAGGAGGGCCCGGUAGGGGAGGCGGCCAAGCGGUAGCGGUAGCAACGGAGGAGCCGGCAGCGUGCGCAGCCCAGGGUGGCUGUGCGACCGAGCUCGUUCCCCUCUGCGCUUGCCGGCUGUCGCCCAUCUCCCUGUCAGUGUUACCGCCCCCGGCCUGCGAGCAACAUGAGAGUAGUGGCUUUGAUCAGUGGUGGGAAGGACAGUUGUUACAAUAUGAUGCAGUGUGUUGCUGCUGGACAUCAGAUUGUUGCUCUAGCCAAUUUAAGACCUGCUGAAAAUACAGGGCAGACUGAUGAAUUGGACAGCUAUAUGUAUCAGACAGUAGGACACCAUGCCAUUGACCUAUAUGCUGAUGCAUUGGAUUUGCCACUCUAUCGUGGUUUUAUAAAAGGCACCAGUGUAAAUACUGGAAGAGUGUAUACUGCAUGCCAGGAAGACGAGGUUGAGGACCUUUACCAGCUCAUGAAACUUGUUAAGGACAAAGAAGGAGUAGAGGGUGUAUCUGUGGGAGCCAUUCUUUCUGACUACCAGAGAGUUCGAGUGGAAGAUGUGUGCAGAAGGCUUAAUCUUCAGCCUUUAGCUUACCUCUGGCAUUGGAACCAGGAAAUACUCCUUAAAGAAAUGAUAUCAUCUAACAUUCAAGCCAUAAUCAUCAAAGUGGCAGCUUUUGGUUUAGAUCCAGAUAAGCAUCUAGGAAAAACUCUAGGUGAAAUGGAGCCUGUUCUUCUGGAGCUCUCUGAGAAAUAUGGAGUCCAUGCUUGUGGAGAAGGAGGAGAAUAUGAAACAUUCACUCUGGACUGCCCUCUGUUUAAGAAGAAAAUAGUUGUAGAUUCAGCCAAGGUGGUUGUGCAUUCAGCUGAUGCAUUUGCACCUGUGGCCUACCUUCAUUUUUCAAAACUACACCUGGAGAAUAAGCAGGAAGAAUCCUUGGGUACUUUUGUGGUCAGUAGCUGUCAUUGUGAGAUGAGCUGUAUGGAUGAUGAUACUUUUCCUUCAUCAGAAGAGUAUGAACCACAGAAAAAUAUUCCAGUGAUCUGGAAGACUUUAAAACAUAAGUCUUCAGAUUUCACUAAGACACUUCAAAAUUCAGGAAAAUCCCUGAGUGGUUACCAAUGGUUUUCAGGUAUCACUGCCCACUUCCUUCCAUCAAAGGAUAAAAAUGCUCAAGAUGCAGCACGGGAAGCAUUUUCUUCUCUCAGAGCUAAUUUGACUUCAGAGGGAUUGAAGCUGAAGGAUAUCAUUUUAGUUCAUCUGUAUAUGAAGAGCAUGAAAGAUUUCAGUGUUAUAAACUCAGUUUAUGUGACAGAAUUUGAUUUGUGUCCACCAGCAAGAGUAUGUGUGGAAACACUGUUACCUGAUGGAGUGCUGUUUUGCAUGGACUGCCUUGCACAUAAGUAUGACAUGGCAACAGAUGAUGUAGUACAUGAUGAAAAGCUGGUCAUGCAUGUACAGAGCAUUUCCCACUGGGCACCUGCCAGCAUAGGACCUUACAGUCAGUCCAUCAAGGUUGGUGAUGUUCUCUGCUGUGCUGGACAGAUUGCUCUGGUGCCCUGCACCAUGCAGCUGGUGAGGGGUGGCGUACGCGCUGAGGCCAGCCUUUCCCUCCGGCACGUCGGGCGAGUUCUGCAAGCCAUGAGCCACGAGACUGCGCUCCACCACGUCAUCUCAGCCAGCUGCUACGUCACCGACAGCAAGAGCAUUCCUAUUGCUCGCUCCGUGUGGCAGAGGAAAUUAGGAGAAUGCAAAAAGGUUGAAGAUUCGGAGAUGUAUCAUGAUGAAACUGCAGUAUGUGGGUUGCUUGCUGUGGUUGUAGUAUCUCACCUACCCAGAGAUGCUGCCAUUGAAUGGCAUGUUGUUGCAGUAGUUGAUGAUCCACUCCAAAGAAAGCAUUUUGCAAUGAAGAUGUUGUCAGAGGGCUUCCAAAUUGAGUGUGAAUCUGUGGAGUCUAGUUCUGCAUCCUGUGCAUCAAUCUCGGUACGCCUGAGUUUGGUUUCCUCAUCUACUUCUCACCUUGAUUUAGAUGGACCUCUUCAUGACUUAGUUGCUAUGUUUAAACAAGCUGUCGACAAACUUUCAGAAGACUGCAGUGCCAGUCCUUUGUCCUUCAGAGCUUUCUUCAAGGAGCAAGUCUUUGAUGCUGAAGCACUACAAAAUGGGGAGCCUACUCUGUUUGGAGAGCAAUGGUGGCCAGGAUCUGAGAAAGGAAAAGCUCAUGAGAGAUGAGAGAAAUGCCACUGACCAUUGCAUAAAAUUGAAAAGGAGGAAGAGGAAAAUCUGAGGACUGCAAGAACACCUUGAAAAGUAUUUGGAAGAGAAGACCCCAGCUCUGAUUUUAAUACCUGUGGUGGAUUUACCUGACAAAGAUGUCAUUCAUAUAACAUGCUGGCUAAGCUAGGAGAUGAGUUGAUAUCAAAACACACAUACAUUCCAUCUAGGACAGAACAAAGAAAAGAGCUGAUUCUACCUCCGUUGGAUACUUUCAUGAAGCAAUAUUGUUUGAUUUAAGCAAAGCUGUAUUACCUUGGUAAUGAUGCCUCAUGAUAUGUGACAGAGUCAGGUUUGUAUGAAGAAUAAAGCUUUCUUUUAAAAAU